rnacentral:rRNA from 1 species
GAACCGUUAUAACCGGCGAUUUCCGAAUGGGGAAACCCAGUGUGAUUCGUCACACUAUCAUUAACUGAAUCCAUAGGUUAAUGAGGCGAACCGGGGGAACUGAAACAUCUAAGUACCCCGAGGAAAAGAAAUCAACCGAGAUUCCCCCAGUAGCGGCGAGCGAACGGGGAGGAGCCCAGAGCCUGAAUCAGCAUGUGUGUUAGUGGAAGCGUCUGGAAAGGCGCGCGAUACAGGGUGACAGCCCCGUACACAAAAGCGCAUGUGCUGUGAGCUCGAUGAGUAGGGCGGGACACGUGGUAUCCUGUCUGAAUAUGGGGGGACCAUCCUCCAAGGCUAAAUACUCCUGACUGACCGAUAGUGAACCAGUACCGUGAGGGAAAGGCGAAAAGAACCCCGGCGAGGGGAGUGAAAAAGAACCUGAAACCGUGU